rnacentral:lncRNA from 10 species
GUUUAUCAGUCGAACACUUCCUAGGAAUCUCUCUGUAGGCUGGGAGUCAGAGCCCCACUUCCAGAGGCUUCCAUGCUGAGGGAGGGGAAGUAGAAUGGGGGAGGGACAGAGCCCAGCACAGAAACUCCCAGUUUCAUGAAAUGUUUUCUAGCUCAUGUGCAGGGCAGGGAAAAAAAAGAAGAAGAAGAAAUGUUUUCCCCAGUGAAAUAGAACUCUGCUUCUUGGAGGGUCAGGGAAAACUUCCUGUAGGAGGGGACAUUUCAGAUGGGCUUUGAGGUAUGUGCAGGAGUUCACUAUCCAAGGGUAGGGGGAGGCGUGGAGCAUGAGAACAAACCUGGCGUCUGUCUGCACUGAUUGCGACACACUCUUUGGAAGAGGAGGAGGAGGAGGAGAGAGAAUGAAAAUACCUGCUUGCUCUCCAGAAUUGGGGUUCAGCUUUUGAAACUGCAUCCCCUUGCCAGGCGCAGUGGCUCACGUCUGUAAUCCCAGCACUUUGGGAGGCCGAGGCAGGCAGAUCACUUGAGGCCAGGAGUUGGAGACCAGCCUGGCCAACAUGGUGAAACCCCGUCUUUACUGAAAGUACAAAAAUUAGCCAGGCGUGGUGGUGGGUGCCUGUAAUCCCAGCUACUCAGGAGGCUGAGGCAGGAGAAUCGCUUGAAGCCGGGAGGCAGAGGUUGCAGUGAGCUGAGAUUGCACCACUGCACUCCAGCCUGGGUGACAGAGAGAGACCCUGUUGCCAAAAAAAAAAAAAAAAAUUAAAAAAAGGAAAGAAACUGGAUCUCCCAAUUGCCCCAUUCCAUCUUCUAUCCCCCACUUUCUCCUCAAGCCACCCCAUUUCCUGGUUUCAUUCUAGACUCAAGCAUUCGGCACUGUGGUUUGACAACCUUGAGAAGGAAUUCCUGUCUGGCCUCUGUCUAGCGGCAAGCCUGGGUUCCUCUUUUCUCUGAGCCUCGGUUAAUCCAACUAAACAAUGCGACUGAAGAUAGUUCUGGUUGUUGUGACAAUUAAAGAAACCAGGAUGCCUAGAAGCCACCAGGCUCAGAGGGGCCAGGUGUGGUGGCUCACGCCUGUCAUCCCAGCACUUUGGGAGGCUGAGGCUGGGGGAUCGCUGGAGGUCGGGGGUUCGAGACCAGCCUGGCUAACAUGGUGAAACCCUGUUUCUACUAAAAAAUACAAAAAUUAGCUGGCUAGGCAUGGUGGCUCACACCUGUCAUCCCAGCACUUUGGAAGGCCGAG